rnacentral:lncRNA from 10 species
GAAGAAGAGAAAAUCCCCUGGGGUGGCAGCAGCAGUAGCGGAAGACGGAGGCCUCAAAAAGUGUAAAAUCUCCAGCUAUUGCAGAUCCCAACCCCCUGCUAGACUAAUAAGUGGAGAGGAACAUUUUUCAAGCAAGAAGUGCCUGGCUUGGUUUUAUGAAUAUGCAGGUCCUGAUGAAGUUGUAGGGCCAGAAGGAAUGGAAAAAUUUUGUGAAGACAUUGGUGUUGAACCUGAAAAUAUUAUUAUGUUAGUUUUAGCGUGGAAAUUGGAGGCUGAAAGCAUGGGAUUUUUUACCAAGGAAGAAUGGUUAAAGGGAAUGACUUCAUUACAACGGAGUCUUGCUUUGUCGCCAGGCUACAGUACAGUGGCGCGAUCUUGGCUCACUGCAACCUCCGCCUCCUGGGUUCAAGCGAUUCUCCUGCCUCAGCCUCCCGAGCUGGGACUACGGGCGUGUGCCUCCACGCCCGGCUAAUUUUGUGUAUUUUAAGUAGAGACAGGGUUUCAUUCACCAUGUUAGCCAGGAUGGUCUCAAUCUCCUGACCUUGUGAUCCACCUGCCUCGACCUCCCAAAGUCCUGGGAUUGCAGGUGUGAGCCACAGCGCCCGGCCAAGCACGGUUUUUAUUAGCACACCUUUCCUGUAGGAAGGUCACAGGGUAUACAAAAUAAAAGCAAUUAUUCAGCACUUAAAUUUGUCCCAGAAGUUUCUCUUUCACUGAUUUAUUAUUCCUUUCCCAUUUGCCCAGAAUAAUAUACUGUAGAGCCUUGAAGCUACUGAGGAAUGCUUGAAGUGAGCAUUCUUGACCUGGAAAAUCGUUGAUUUUUUUCCCUCAUGAUCUGGGUUACCAUGUGAAAUACAAAGUGUUUUUCUUCAAUUGGCCAAGUCUUAUUACUCCUUGAAUUUUCUUAUUAAAAACUUG